rnacentral:rRNA from 1 species
GACGAACGCUGGCGGCGUGCCUAAUACAUGCAAGUCGAACGCAGUGGGGACGGGGGAGUAACCCGUGGUUAACCUCCCAUCAGAGGGGAAAACACUUGGAAACAGCUGCUAAACCGAUACUGAUGGAUGGACUCGCGGUGCAUUAGCUAGUUGGUGAGGUAACGGCUCACCAAGGCAACGAUGCAUAGCCGACCGGAGAGGGUGAUCGGCCACACUGGAACUGAGACACGGCCCAGACUCCUACGGGAGGCAGCAGUAGGGAAUCUUCGGCAAUGGACGAAAGUCUGACCGAGCAACGCCGCGUGAGUGAAGAAGGUUUUCGGAUCGUAAAACUCUGUUGUUAGAGAAGCGGUAUCUAACCAGAAAGCCACGACUAACUACGUGCCAGCAGCCGCGGUAAUUC